GCCCGAAUGGCUCAGUCGGUUAGAGUGCGUCCUUGGUAAGGACGAGGUCCCCGGUUCAAUUCCGGGUUCGGGCU
rfam:Mucispirillum schaedleri ASF457 genomic scaffold acYAd-supercont1.1, whole genome shotgun sequence.